GUAGGUGGCAAGCGUUGUCCGGAAUUAUUGGGCGUAAAGCGCGCGCAGGCGGUUCUUUAAGUCUGAUGUGAAGGCCCACGGCUCAACCGUGGAGGGUCAUUGGAAACUGGAGAACUUGAGUACAGAAGAGGAAAGCGGAAUUCCACGUGUAGCGGUGAAAUGCGUAGAGAUGUGGAGGAACACCAGUGGCGAAGGCGGCUUUCUGGUCUGUAACUGACGCUGAGGCGCGAAAGCGUGGGGAGCAAACAGGGAUUAGAUACCCUGGUAGUCCACGCCGUAAACGAUGAGUGCUAAGUGUUAGGGGGGUUUCCGCCCCCUUAGUGCUGCAGCUAACGCAUUAAGCACUCCGCCUGGGGAUACGGCCGCAAGGCUG
rnacentral:rRNA from 1 species